UUCACAAUAUAAGUCAUUUUAGCAUUUCCCACAUUUAUAAUGAUGCUAAUGAAUAUAAAUAGAUAUAUAUGUCUAGAUUUAUUAAUAUAAAUAUAAAUGUGAAAAAUACUAGAAUGACUAACAUUGUGAA
rnacentral:misc_RNA from 1 species